rnacentral:rRNA from 1 species
UGGGCAACCUGCCCCUAGCUCUGGGAUAACUGCGGGAAACUGUAGCUAAUACCGGAUGUGACACGAGACUGCAUGGUCUUCGUGUGGAAAGAUUUUAUCGGCUAGGGAUGGGCCCGCGGUCUAUCAGCUUGUUGGUGGGGUAAUGGCUCACCAAGGCGACGAUGGAUAACCGGCCUGAGAGGGCGACCGGUCACACUGGGACUGAGACACGGCCCAGACUCCGUACGGAGCAG